CAGUAGCCGCGGUAAUACGAAGGGUGCAAGCGUCACUCGGAAUUACUGGGCGUAAAGCGCACGUAGGCGGAUUUUUAAGUCAGGGGUGAAAUCCCGAGGCUCAACCUCGGAACUGCCUUUGAUACUGGAGAUCUUGAGUUCGGAAGAGGUUGGUGGAACAGCUAGUGUAGAGGUGAAAUUCGUAGAUAUUAGCUAGAACACCAGUGGCGAAGGCGGCCAACUGGUCCGAUACUGACGCUGAGGUGCGAAAGCGUGGGGAGCAAACAGGAUUAGAUACCCCAGUAGUCCCUGUCUCUUAUAC
rnacentral:rRNA from 1 species